rnacentral:rRNA from 1 species
AACGUACGCUGGCGGCACGCCUAACACAUGCAAGUCGAACGAAGUAGCAAUACUUAGUGGCAGACGGGUGAGUAACAUGUAGGUAUCUGCCCUUUGGCCUGGAAUAACACGAGGAAACUUGUGCUAAUACCGGAUAAGUCUUUACGGAGAAAGCUUUAUGCACCAUUGGAUGAGCCUGCACUUGAUUAGUUUGUUGGUGGGGUAAUGGCCUACCAAGACUGUGAUCAAUAGCUGAUUUGAGAGGAUGAUCAGCCACAUUGGGACUGAGACACGGCCCAAACUCCUACGGGAGGCAGCAGUGGGGAAUCUUGCACAAUGGAGGAAACUCUGAUGCAGCGAUGCCGCGUGAGUGAAGAAGGCCCUUGGGUUGUAAAGCUCUUUCGUCGGGGAAGAAAAUGACUGUACCCGAAUAAGAAGGUCCGGCUAACUUCGUGCCAGCAGCCGCGGUAAUACGAAGGGACCUAGCGUAGUUCGGAAUUACUGGGCUUAAAGAGUUCGUAGGUGGUUGAAAAAGUUGGUGGUGAAAUCCCAGAGCUUAACUCUGGAACUGCCAUCAAAACUUUUCAGCUAGAGUAUGAUAGAGGAAAGCAGAAUUUCUAGUGUAGAGGUGAAACUCGUAGAUAUUAGAAAGAAUACCAAUUGCGAAGGCAGCUUUCUGGAUCAUUACUGACACUGAGGAACGAAAGCAUGGGUAGCGAAGAGGAUUAGAUACCCUCGUAGUCCAUGCCGUAAACGAUGUGUGUUAGACGUUGGAAAUUUAUUUUCAGUGUCGCAGCGAAAGCGAUAAACACACCGCCUGGGGAGUACGACCGCAAGGUUA